GACGAACGCUGGCGGCGUGCUUAACACAUGCAAGUCGAACGGAAAGGCCCUGCUUGCAGGGUACUCGAGUGGCGAACGGGUGAGUAACACGUGGGUGAUCUGCCCUGCACUUCGGGAUAAGCCUGGGAAACUGGGUCUAAUACCGGAUAGGAGCCAUUUUUAGUGUUGGGGGGGGAGAGUUUUUUCGGUGUAGGAUGAGCUCGCGGCCUAUCAGCUUGUUCGUGGGGUAAUGGCCUACCAAGGCGGCGACGGGGAGCCGGCCUGAGAGGGUGGACGGCCACAUUGGGACUGAGAUACGGCCCAGACUCCUACGGGAGGCAGCGGUGGGGAAUAUUGCACAAUGGGCGCAAGCCUGAUGCAGCGACGCCGCGUGGGGGAUGACGGCCUUCGGGUUGUAAACUCCUUUCGCUAGGGACGAAGCUUUUUGUGACGGUACCUAGAUAAGAAGCACCGGCUAACUACGUG
rnacentral:rRNA from 1 species